rnacentral:rRNA from 1 species
GGUUAAGCGACUAAGCGUACACGGUGGAUGCCCUGGCAGUCAGAGGCGAUGAAGGACGUGCUAAUCUGCGAUAAGCGUCGGUAAGGUGAUAUGAACCGUUAUAACCGGCGAUUUCCGAAUGGGGAAACCCAGUGUGAUUCGUCACACUAUCAUUAACUGAAUCCAUAGGUUAAUGAGGCGAACCGGGGGAACUGAAACAUCUAAGUACCCCGAGGAAAAGAAAUCAACCGAGAUUCCCCCAGUAGCGGCGAGCGAACGGGGAGCAGCCCAGAGCCUGAAUCAGUGUGUGUGUUAGUGGAAGCGUCUGGAAAGGCGCGCGAUACAGGGUGACAGCCCCGUACACAAAAAUGCACAUACUGUGAGCUCGAUGAGUAGGGCGGGACACGUGGUAUCCUGUCUGAAUAUGGGGGGACCAUCCUCCAAGGCUAAAUACUCCUGACUGACCGAUAGUGAACCAGUACCGUGAGGGAAAGGCGAAAAGAACCCCGGCGAGGGGAGUGAAAAAGAACCUGAAACCGUGUACGUACAAGCAGUGGGAGCAC